rfam:Lactobacillus rhamnosus MTCC 5462 contig165, whole genome shotgun sequence.
UAGAAACAUUUGGGGUGCUGAAAAGCUGAGAUAAUACCCAUGGAACCUGAUGCAGUUAGUACUGCCGCAGGGAAAUGUCGCUAAGAUCAA